UCUCCGUUGGUGAACCAGCGGAGGGAUCAUUAUAGAGUUAUUACAACUCCCAACCCUAUGUGAACAUACCUAUCGUUGCCUCGGCGCUGAGCUGGGGGCUUCUUUCCAAGGAGCUCUCCCAUGGUCUCUCGGGACGAUGGAGCAAGCCCGCCGGCGGCCCUUCUAAACUCUUGUUUUUAUUACGUAUCUCUUCUGAGUUAUUCAAAACAAAAUGAAUCAAAACUUUCAACAACGGAUCUCUUGGUUCUGGCAUCGAUGAAGAACGCAGC
rnacentral:misc_RNA from 1 species